rnacentral:lncRNA from 1 species
UAGCGGCAGUGGCGAGGGACGUAGGUAAUUUCCAAAUUAGUUUCCUAGAUGAGUUUGUUGAUAUAAAACAGACCCAAAUGAUUAUGUAUCAUUUUUUCCAUACAUAUUAAUUUGUAUGUUGUGGUUCUUCCUUAAUUGUGUUUAGGUACCAAGGCUGCAUUUGGAAUCCAAUGUUUUACUUACUCACUGUGCAUGGACUCAUAUCAGUAUGCCGUUGAUUACUGCAACAAGGAGUGCAAAAUACUUGGUUAUGACGGCCAGAAAGGCUACUGCAAGAAGGAGAAUCGUGGCGUGUGUUGUUGUGCCUAAAGUUAAAGACAUGUUAUAUUGUCAUUUUGUAGAAAAUCAUUGCAUGUAUUUGCUUGUCAGAAUACUAAUUUAUAUGGAUUAUACGAGAAUUUCAAUAACAU